GGUAGGAUGGCUGAGAAUUAAGCGGUGGAUUGUAGCCCCAUAGACAGAGGUUCGAGUCCUCUUCCCACCA
rnacentral:tRNA from 1 species